ACGAACGCUGGCGGCGUGCUUAACACAUGCAAGUCGAACGGAAAGGCCCUGCUUUUGUGGGGUGCUCGAGUGGCGAACGGGUGAGUAACACGUGAGUAACCUGCCCUUGACUUUGGGAUAACUUCAGGAAACUGGGGCUAAUACCGGAUAGGAGCUCCUGCUGCCUGGUGGGGGUUGGAAAGUUUCGGCGGUUGGGGAUGGACUCGCGGCUUAUCAGCUUGGUGGUGGGGUAGUGGCUUACCAAGGCUUUGACGGGUAGCCGGCCUGAGAGGGUGACCGGCCACAUUGGGACUGAGAUACGGCCCAGACUCCUACGGGAGGCAGCAGUGGGGAAUAUUGCACAAUGGGCGGAAGCCUGAUGCAGCAACGCCGCGUGCGGGAUGACGGCCUUCGGGUUGUAAACCGCUUUCGCCUGUGACGAAGCGUGAGUGACGGUAAUGGGUAAAGAAGCACCGGCUAACUACGUG
rnacentral:rRNA from 1 species